rnacentral:misc_RNA from 1 species
GCCCAAUGUUUUCACUCAAAAGCAGACUACAAAUUCACAAUUGCUUGUCCAAUUACCAAAUUCAAUCACCUACUAUUGUGCUCCAUGCACCCACGGACCAUGACGCCCCAUGGCUUUAAUCAUGAGGCCCACUAGUAAUCAAUAAGCAGCGGAUCAAAGUGAAGUCAUCNNNNNAUGCAUCAUUGUUUCCGUUCGAAAUCAAGGGUGAUGAAGAAAACAAAAACAGCUUAAAAUAGAAAAAGAAAACCAAAACCAUACAAUGAAAGAGACUAAAGAAAUAAUGUUUCUCUAAAAUACAUUAUCAUUACAGGUGA